AACGUAGGAGGCGAGCGUUAUCCGGAUUUACUGGGUGUAAAGCGCGUGCAGGCGGUUGGUUAAGUUGGGUGUGAAAGCUCCUGGCUCAACUGGGAGAGGUCGCUCAAGACUGGCCAACUGGAGAGCAGUAGGGGAAGGUGGAAUUCCGGGUGUAGUGGUGAAAUGCGUAGAGAUCUGGAGGAAUACCGGUGGCGAAGGCGGCCCCCUGGACAAAGACUGACGCUCAGGUGCGAAAGCGUGGGGAGCAAACAGG
rnacentral:rRNA from 1 species